ACGACUCUCGGCAACGGAUAUCUAGGCUCUCGCAUCGAUGAAGAACGUAGCGAAAUGCGAUACCUGGUGUGAAUUGCAGAAUCCCGCGAACCAUCGAGUCUUUGAACGCAAGUUGCGCCCGAGGCCACCCGGUCGAGGGCACGCCUGCCUGGGCGUCACGC
rnacentral:rRNA from 1 species